GGAGAAUGGCAUUCCAGCAGCGAUUUUUUGCUUCCUUUCAAUGUGACUUGCGAUUUUAUCCCGGAUGUACAG
rnacentral:ribozyme from 1 species